GACGAACGCUGGCGGCGUGCCUAAUACAUGCAAGUAGAACGCUGAAGGAGGAGCUUGCUUCUCCGGAUGAGUUGCGAACGGGUGAGUAACGCGUAGGUAACCUGCCUGGUAGCGGGGGAUAACUAUUGGAAACGAUAGCUAAUACCGCAUAAGAGUAGAUGUUGCAUGACAUUUGCUUAAAAGGUGCAAUUGCAUCACUACCAGAUGGACCUGCGUUGUAUUAGCUAGUUGGUGAGGUAACGGCUCACCAAGGCGACGAUACAUAGCCGACCUGAGAGGGUGAUCGGCCACACUGGGACUUAGACACGGCCCAGACUCCUUCGGGAUGCAGCAGUAGGGAAUCUUCGGCAAUGGACGGAAGUCUGACCGCGCAACGCCGCGUGAGUGAAGAAGGUUUUCGGAUCGUAAAGCUCUGUUGUAAGGGAAGAACGAGUGUGAGAGUGUAAAGUUCACACUGUGACGGUAUCUUACCAGAAAGGGACGGCUAACUACGUG
rnacentral:rRNA from 1 species